rnacentral:tRNA from 1 species
CGGGGCGUAGCGCAGCCUGGUCAGCGCACCUGUUUUGGGUACAGGGGGCCCCCAGUUCGAAUCUGGGCGCCCCGACCA